rnacentral:sRNA from 1 species
UGCCCCUGAACGGGCGCCCGUUGGAGGUUU